rnacentral:tRNA from 1 species
AAAGAAAUAAGCUAAAUAAGCUACUGGGUUCAUACCCCAUUUAUAAAGGUUAAUCCUUUUUUCUUUA